rnacentral:rRNA from 1 species
UGGGGAAUCUUGGACAAUGGGCGCAAGCCUGAUCCAGCCAUGCCGCGUGAGCGAUGAAGGCCUUAGGGUUGUAAAGCUCUUUCACCGGUGAAGAUAAUGACGGUAGCCGGAGAAGAAGCCCCGGCUAACUCCGUGCCAGCAGCCGCGGUAAUACGGAGGGGGCUAGCGUUGUUCGGAAUUACUGGGCGUAAAGCGCACGUAGGCGGACCAGAAAGUUGGGGGUGAAAUCCCGGGGCUCAACCCCGGAACUGCCUCCAAAACUAUUGGUCUAGAGUUCGAGAGAGGUGAGUGGAAUUCCAAGUGUAGAGGUGAAAUUCGUAGAUAUUUGGAGGAACACCAGUGGCGAAGGCGGCUCACUGGCUCGAUACUGACGCUGAGGUGCGAAAGUGUGGGGAGCAAACAGGAUUAGAUACCCUGGUAGUCCACACCGUAAAACGAUGAAUGCCAGUCGUCGGGUAGCAUGCUAUUCGGUGACACACCUAACGGAUUAAGCAUUCCGCCUGGGGAGUACGGUCGCAAGAUUAAAACU